AACCAUAGAAACCUGCGGAGUACCUGCGGAGGGAUCAUUAUAGUAUAUGGAAUCUCCAUUCUAUAAACCCACUCUGCGUAUCUUGUAACUGUUGCUUCCAUGGGACUUGGUUCCGCCACACCGGCUUCACGGCUGGUGAGCGCCCAUGAAAGGAGAAACAAAACUCUUCUUUGAAAUGUAGUCAGUCUGAACAAGUUUUUAUAAACGUUAAAACUUUUAACAAUGGAUCUCAGAUCGGAA
rnacentral:misc_RNA from 1 species